rnacentral:rRNA from 1 species
GAGUGAACGCUGGCGGUAGGCCUACCACCUGCAAGUCGAACGGCAGCACAGUAAGAGCUUGCUCUUACGGGUGGCGAGUGGCGGACGGGUGAGGAAUACAUCGGAAUCUACUUUUUCGUGGGGGAUAACGUAGGGAAACUUACGCUAAUACCGCAUACGACCUACGGGUGAAAGCAGGGGAUCUUCGGACCUUGCGCGAUUGAAUGAGCCGAUGUCGGAUUAGCUAGUUGGCGGGGUAAAGGCCCACCAAGGCGACGAUCCGUAGCUGGUCUGAGAGGAUGAUCAGCCACACUGGAACUGAGACACGGUCCAGACUCCUACGGGAGGCAGCAGUGGGGAAUAUUGGACAAUGGGCGCAAGCCUGAUCCAGCCAUACCGCGUGGGUGAAGAAGGCCUUCGGGUUGUAAAGCCCUUUUGUUGGGAAAGAAAAGCAGCAGGUUAAUACCCCGCUGUUCUGACGGUACCCAAAGAAUAAGCACCGGCUAACUUCGUG